ensembl:lincRNA
AUGCGGCUUCCCCCUCACAUCUGGGCACGCAGACCCUCCCCUCAGCCACCCCAGCAAGCCCGGAGAGCCUCAGCGAAGCCCCAGGUCCGGAAAGGUGGUGGGGGACCAGCACCUGUCCUCAGCCCGUCUGGACCAACCUUUCCCGAAAAGCCGGAGGCGAGCUGUGUGAUCCUGGCAGUGACUGGCCAAGUGCUACCACAGGAAGUGUUGCUGACUCUUCAAACGGCCAUGAAAACUUGCAACCUGAAACCCCAGAAAAAAUCUGCAGUCUGUCCAGGUGAAAGUCUCCACUGGUGGUUCUCUGACCCAGGGGACACUACUCAGGUGGUCAAGGGAGGUCCCUCCUGCCACAGCAGAAUCACCAUUCCAGAUCUGGGAGCCAGGCUUUUCCCCGGCUCCCACUGGAUGCUGUUCACAGCCUGCACCACCUCGAGGGGUGGCAGUCCCAGACGCUGUCGGCCUUUUUGUCUUCUGCUGCUUCCUGUAGGACCCAGGGCUGAGUCUCAUUGCUUGCCCUCUUGCAUGUGGCACACAGAUCAUUUGGCUUGGCUGGCAAUGAGCUUUGCUCCUUCCACUUUUUUGCAUGGCACAGUGGGUGUGAGUCCAGCCACUGGACAAGCCCAGGUUAAAAUCAGCCUUGCCACACUCUGCCUGAGUGGCCUUCCGGCAAGUCUCUGCUCCUCUCAGAGCCUCUGUUUGCUCAUCUGGAAGCUGGGGUCACAGAUACAGUACUUGCUCACACAGCAGCUGUACGGCUGCUGUGAAUAGCAAUAGGGUUCUCACCCCGUGCCCAGUGCUGCUCACAGCUGUGGUUGGUCUUGUCCUUAGUGUAUCCCAUGGUCCUUGUGCAAAGGCAGGCUGGCACCCCUGCCAGGAAGGGGGUGGGAGCCUUGAGUCUCUCCUGCCCCUGGCAGCAGGAGGCUCAUUUGCCUGGGAGCUUCCUAUGGACUCAGUUUGGCUGCAGUGGGGAGAGUCCAGGCCAGGCCUCUGAGGCUGGGACCCAGAGGGACCUCCUUGUCCUCCCAGGUUCUCCAGGCUCCCCUCUUCCUCUGCCCCACCCACUGCUUCCUACAAAUCUCGGCAGGGCCUGGUGUAUUCCCUGCUGGUCACCUGGGCACAGCCCUGCAUAGCACAGACCCGGUGCUGCCUGGUGGCUAAAGGGCUUGGACGCUGGCAGUGACCAUGGACCACCCCAAGUGGAGUAGGUGCCACAGUGCCUGGUCUGAGGCCGGAGCGGCAGCUGUACGGCAGGGACGUGGACCAAGGAAGGGAGGACCAGGUGCCCUCCUCUAGCUCCUGCCCGGAAAACCGUCUUCCUUGCUGCUGCUCAGCCCUUCCCAGCCCUGCCCCUCACCCUGCUUCUCACAUUUCAGCUUCUGAGCUACUGGCAGCAGCACACCAGACAUGGUAACCCAGGGUGUGCUGGCGGCAGCACAGCCUGAAACGGGCAGCAGGGGCCCAAGGUCUGCUGAGGUGAGGGAGAGAGAAUGCUCCUAAAGCCAGUCCUGUGCUCCCCACACUGCAAUGCUUAUCUGGCUUCCUUCCUUGUCUGCCCAUACUUGAAGCCGCAGCCUCUUCUGACCCCUGUGAAUUGUUCUUUCCUCUGACCGUCUGGCACGGACCGGCCACAGAGUGUGGGUUGUGUGUCACCUCGAACCUGACCUUGUCAUUUCAAGGAUGGCCAGGCGUUCUCCCUCCAUACACCUCACCACACCCAGCUGGACUCCCCUCUUGCCCCUGCCCUUACGUGGGCAGGGCUGGGCCUCCAGGACCAGGUGAGCUCUCAAGUUCCGAUGCCAGCAGGAAGCCAUUUUCCAGGGCUGCCGCGCAGGACUCUGGAAGGAACCUGGAAGGAGUCCAGGCUCUGGCAGGGACCAGCUGUGAUGAGCUUGGGCAAGUCCUGGGGGUAUGAUAAUAGGACUUAGGGUGCCCUUGUGUGGGUGAGACAAGGAAUGCAAGGAGAGCCACCCAGGCAGCAUCUGGCACACAGUGGCGCUGACCACUAGUGCUUACAAACACGUGCCUCCCGGGCUCACGCCGGGCUCCAAGCCAGCUCCUCCCCAGGAGGGCCAGUCCUGGUUUCCCGGCCACAUCCCCCACCUUGCAGCCCACCCGGGUCUGAUUUUUCAUUAGCGCCAGCCUCUGUCCCUCCCCUGUCCUGGCUGGCCCUAGCCCUCCCUUUUCUAGUCUCAAAUGGGACUUGACAUCCCACCUUUUCUCCCCAACCUCUGUCCAUUCCAUGGGAGGAGAGCCAGCUGUCUAGAGGGACCCUGGAGACAACACUUACAGUGGUCCUCUUCCCACAUCCCCUGCUUCCCACCUUCCUCCUGAGCCCAAGACACUCCCUCCUGGUUCCAGGUGGGCCUCAUCCAACCCUUCACCCUCCCCCAUCCUGUCUGGUGGCAGACUUACUCUCCUUUGGGGGUUCUGCCCUCUCCCCCUCCCUCUGGAGAGGGGGCCAGGCUGGGUGGCAGGUGUCUCCAUUCUGGUCCCAUCUUUCCUGCUAAUUCUUUGAGGUUUCAGUGUCAACAUGCCUCAGGCUACUGGUUGACCUGGAGAAAUUAUGGUAACUGUCCUGAGGCCCUACAGAAAAUCAAUCGAGGAAGCGGUUAGACAGCCACUUCUGUCUAAAACAGAAAUAGCUCGGCCUGCGUGGCCAUGAAUUGAGUGUUUCUAUAGGGAACGCUGCAGUUGGAGCAGCCGAGUGCUGGGUUCCUCCUUGCUGACACCAUGAGAGGCAGAGACACUUCCCUUGGGGAAAAGUCCCUCGGGAAGCUGAAAACCCCUGAGGGGUGUGGGAGGAGGAGGGGCCCAGCGCAGGACAGGGCAGUACUGAGGGGCAGGAAGAGGUGGGCCACAGAGAGGGCAUGGGGACUCCGGCCACCUCCAGUAGGGCUGCCACCAGCUUUGUUCCAAGGUGAAUCAGCUCCAGCUGGAUGAUGGAGGUGGGCAUCGGAGGUCAGGCCUACCAGGCACCCAGGCAAGCCGGGCACCACCCAGCUGGAUCUGCAGGGCCCAGGGGGCUGCAAGGUGUCAGUCAGUGCUGCACCUCAACACCUGCCCUGCUUUCCCCCAGGCAGCCUGUAUGCCGGGCGCCCCCUGGUGGUUGGGGAACCCCAGCCUUGUGAGCCCCAAGAAUUGGAGAAGACCAGAGUAUUGGGGGAUAUUGAGCUCUGCUGCAGACCCCAACAGGGGCAUCUGACCCCAUUCUGCCUUCCUGGGAGCAGGAGGCUGAGGCAGGAGGAUCGCUUGAGGCGAAGACUUUGGGCCCACUGUGGCUGAAGAAAGGAGGCCUGAACCCAUUGCUGCAAAGGAUCCUGCCUCUUUCUGGGGCCCCCAGACUCCUGGCCAUCUUCAGGGUUAAUAAAGCUGCUUUUUAAUAACAGCUUUACUAUGUAUAAUUCACAUACUACAUAAUUCACCCAUUUAAAGUGUACAAUGCAGUGGUUUUUAGUAUAUUCACAGAGUUAUGCAACAUUACCACAGUCAAUUUUAGAACACUUUCUUCACCCCAAAAAGGAACCCCACACCCAUUAGCAGUCACUCCCCAUCUCCCUUCCUCUCAGCCCCAGGCAACCACUCAUUUACUUUCUGUCUCUGUGGAUUUGCUGCUGUGGCCUUCCGUGUCCGGCUUCUCUCACUGAUCUCACGUUUGUUUUUUUUUUUUUUUUUUUUGAGACAGAGUUUCACUUUGUUGCCCGGGCUAGAGUGAGUGCCGUGGCAUCAGCCCAGCUCACAGCAACCUCAGAC